rnacentral:rRNA from 1 species
AUGAACGCUGGCGACGUGCCUAAUACAUGCAAGUCGAGCGAACAGACGAGGAGCUUGCUCCUCUGACGUUAGCGGCGGACGGGUGAGUAACACGUGGAUAACCUACCUAUAAGACUGGGAUAACUUCGGGAAACCGGAGCUAAUACCGGAUAAUAUAUUGAACCGCAUGGUUCAAUAGUGAAAGACGGUUUUGCUGUCACUUAUAGAUGGAUCCGCGCCGCAUUAGCUAGUUGGUAAGGUAACGGCUUACCAAGGCAACGAUGCGUAGCCGACCUGAGAGGGUGAUCGGCCACACUGGAACUGAGACACGGUCCAGACUCCUACGGGAGGCAGCAGUAGGGAAUCUUCCGCAAUGGGCGAAAGCUUGACGGAGCAACGCCGCGUGAGUGAUGAAGGUCUUCGGAUCGUAAAACUCUGUUAUUAGGGAAGAACAAAUGUGUAAGUAACUAUGCACGUCUUGACGGUACCUAAUCAGAAAGCCACGGCUAACUACGUG